rnacentral:tRNA from 1 species
GAUAGAGUGACUGAAAUAAUUAGGUGAUAAAUUGUAAAUUUAUUUAUGGCUAUCUAGCCCUCUAUCA